UUUCCGUAGGUGAACCUGCGGAAGGAUCAUUACCGAGUGAGGGCCCUCUGGGUCCAACCUCCCACCCGUGUUUAUCGUACCUUGUUGCUUCGGCGGGCCCGCCUCACGGCCGCCGGGGGGCAUCCGCCCCCGGGCCCGCGCCCGCCGAAGACACACAAACGAACUCUUGUCUGAAGAUUGCAGUCUGAGUACUUGACUAAAUCAGUUAAAACUUUCAACAACGGAUCUCUUGGUUCCGGCAUCGAUGAAGAACGCAGCGAAAUGCGAUAAGUAAUGUGAAUUGCAGAAUUCAGUGAAUCAUCGAGUCUUUGAACGCACAUUGCGCCCCCUGGUAUUCCGGGGGGCAUGCCUGUCCGAGCGUCAUUGCUGCCCUCAAGCACGGCUUGGUGUGUUGGGCUCUCGCCCCCCGCUUCCGGGGGGCGGGCCCGAAAGGCAGCGGCGGCACCGCGUCCGGUCCUCGAGCGUAUGGGGCUUCGUCACCCGCUCUGUAGGCCCGGCCGGCGCCCGCCGGCGAACACCAUCAAUCUUAACCAGGUUGACCUCGGAUCAGGUAGGGAUACCCGCUGAACUUAAGCAUAUCAAUAAGCGGAGGA
rnacentral:rRNA from 1 species